rnacentral:rRNA from 1 species
GACGAACGCUGGCGGCGUGCUUAACACAUGCAAGUCGAACGGAAAGGCCCUGCUUUUGUGGGGUGCUCGAGUGGCGAACGGGUGAGUAACACGUGAGUAACCUGCCCUUGACUUUGGGAUAACUUCAGGAAACUGGGGCUAAUACCGGAUAGGAGCUCCUGCUGCAUGGUGGGGGUUGGAAAGUUUCGGCGGUUGGGGAUGGACUCGGGGCUUAUCAGCUUGUUGGUGGGGUAGUGGCUUACCAAGGCUUUGACGGGUAGCCGGCCUGAGAGGGUGACCGGCGACAUUGGGACUGAGAUACGGCCCAGACUCCUACGGGAGGCAGCAGUGGGGAAUAUUGCACAAUGGGCGGAAGCCUGAUGCAGCAACGCCGCGUGCGGGAUGACGGCCUUCGGGUUGUAAACCGCUUUCGCCUGUGACGAAGCGUGAGUGACGGUAAUGGGUAAAGAAGCACCGGCUAACUACGUG